GCAGGGAGCUCUUCACUGUUUCCCCCGUGGGGUCGGAAAAACAGAUCCUGUUUCAGUGAGCCAGUUGGCUUGGUGUGGCGCAGUGACCGCAUCGCCAUCUUCGGCUCAGUCUGUCAGUCAGUCACAGUCUGCUGGUCUGCAGCUCCAGUGGUCAGGCAGGAGUUCAUUCUUUUCUGGUGUCUUUGUCUGAAUGUUUUUCUGACGGCCCGAGAAUCCUUUCAACUCUGAAACCUCAGUCUCUGCCUCGUCUCUGUUUCCGAUCCAGGGCUGUGAUUCUGCGCUGAACUGGUCACACCAUCGUUCAAGCGGCUCCUCCUGCCUACAGACGGACGUUUUCCCAGAGGUCCAUGCAACCCAGCAGUGACCUGAAGUUACCAAGUCUCCGGGAUGUAUUGUGACAGACUUUAAAUGUGAGGAAGAGAAACUCUCAUCACCCAUCACCUCUGUGAGAUGAAAGGCCCCAAAAGCAGCCAGCCACCCUGCUGGACACAGCUCAGCUGUUAUAAGAAGUGUCUGACAGAAGUGGCAGGCUAAAACUUCCAUGGUUCCUACCUCUCCCGGCUGUGGCCCCGCAAGGUCACUGAACUGCACACUAAUUAUCACCUGAGGGUGCGUGGUCUUCUCAGGGGUCUGGGAACCCCACCCCCACCCCAACCCACUCACCCAGUUUGAGCAUUUAAGGACUUGGAACAAGUGUUGCAUGGGUACACAUCUGUGCCUGUUGCAUAUAUGUUUUUUAUGCAUAAGAAUGUAAUGUUCACCAUUAUCUAUGCUGCGUGUUGUUUGUGCGCGCGCGUGUGAGAGAGAGACAAUAGAUGAUCCCUCUCGGAUUGUCAUGGUAGUGAAGUCUGGUUAAGCACCUCUUAAGACAGCUGUGCUAUCUGUCUUGUCUCGGUGGAUUUCCUCCCAAUUUCUGUGAAAUGAGACAAUAUAAGAGACCAGCCAACAUCUCAUUUGAAGACUAAUUAGGUUAUUCAGAAGGCGGGCGAGGGCGUGCGUUGCAUUAAUGGUUUAAUAUGUGCUCUUUGAGAUGAUGAAUAUUGAGUCACAUUUAUAUUGCAUGGGUGAGUGAAAAUACAUAAUGUUAUCUGUUAUUUAGAUCCUUGUAGAAGCAAUCUGCAUAUCUCAGCUUUUAAAUUCUCACAAGAUAAUUAGAGAGAUAGACUGUAUGUAACACUGCAGCAUGUUUGCUGGCACACAGUUGAUUUCUCAAAGUUGGGGGAAAAAAAGACAACUGUGAAAUGUGUUUGGACAGCAGAGGCAUUAACAUCUGUGAAGUCAGGAGUGUGAAAAUGUCUGAAAAAAAAUCUGAGAUUUUAUCUCUGACUCUUCUUUUUUACCUCCUCUUAUAUAGACAUGACAAGGUUAAGAAAAAUGUAUAAAUUUAGUGGAGCUGUAAUGUGAUAUCUUUUUCCAAUUAACACAUGAGAUCUUAACCGAGCAGCCAUCUGAGCGAAGAUGACAUUUUAUGCAGUCCCCACACAGCUUGCCCCACUGGUUCGCUCAGCCCAAGAAGCAGGACUUGAGGGGGUUUAACUCAUGUCAACAUAUAGAAAAGGGGAAAGAGACUAUGAUAUGAAGCAGGGAGAGAGAGAUGGAGAGAGAGUGAGACACAAUUCCCUUAAGAAGAGAAGAAAGAGCUUUCACAUGACCUCCAUGUACAUCCACUGGUGCUACCGGGAGCACAAACACUGGGAUCCAGAGGAUAUGGAAAUUUCCCCUUGUCAUCCACUAUCGCUUAUGGCAGCUCAUGGAUUUGAUAUUUCUAGUCAACUGAGAUCGUCUUUCAUCCAUGAACACCCCUUGGAGAAGAAAAGCCUCAAAUAGAGAUUAAAAAAGGGAAAAGUAUGGGAAUUAGGAAGGAUGAGGGAGAGCUGGACACUUAUAACCUCACCUUAUAACCUUCUCUGUUAAACCAUCAGUCUUUCUGACCCUUGUAAUUAACACACAAAGCACAGGGAUGGAAAUUGGUCCCUGUGAGACUCUGGUCUCAGCCUACAAAUAAGAUAUUGCCGCAUAGGCAGUAUUUUACAGAAAGCAGAGAAUAGAUUUGUCUCCUGGCAGACACAGCAAAUAUUUCAUCCAGGGUAUGCCUGCGGCUUAAAGCCUUGUCGGUAUUAGUGCGCCUAAAAGUUGUCGGGAGCUUACAGUCCGCAUGGGAAUGCUUUUACAAUAUCAGUUACUUCAAACACACACAGGCAUUCAGAGGGAUUUACACACACAUUCGUGUCAAGUGGAGGAGAAAAAAAAAGCGAAAACAACUGGAAAUGACAUAACAACUUCCUCUUGUUUUUCUAAUUGGCUUAAUCUUUAAUUCUGUACUGUUACGGUGCAAAAUGACGGUGAUUUUGCUCCACGCAGCACUCCCAUCUUCCUCUGUACCCCCCACUAGCAGCCCCAGGGAGUGGAGGCCAGCCGGAUAUAGUAAUUGAAUCACUAACGGCAGAUCACUUUUUGGCUGACUCCAGCUUGUGGGGUAGACAAGAAUGCUUUGACAGUGCUGGCUGGCAGGCUGAACAAAUAGUGGACUAUAUGGAUGCGUGCUGAAGAAAGCCUGAGCUCAAGAAUGAGAAUGAUUGGGCUGCACAUGUUAGCUACAGGGCUGAUGGUAUAAGAGCAAAGGAUAAGGCUGUGCCAGUGUAAUCUCACAAGGGGCCACUUUAACACCAUUUCUGAGUUCUUCUUAUCAUGUAGCUUAAUGACUUUAAUGACUUGUAGAAAAAUUCUGAAAACUGUUAGAAGGCUUUGAAAAUCAAAGAAAGGCUUUAUGAAGUCAGGGAUUUUUUUUUCAAGCGCAGCAAAAGCCUGUACAAUCCGGUCUGUGUAGAGUCCGCCACAUUUCAACUCUUUGUCUUUGUUCCUGUGAAGAGGACAGGAAGUGUUGCAAUGUGGAGGAACUAGUUUACUUAUUCAUCAGGUUUUCAAGUUCUAGCGGACACAAGGUUUCUCGGGGAUGAUAAAUGGCAUUGGAAGGCCCAGGUGGAUGGAGAGGGGGAGGAGGUAAAUAAUGGAACAGCCUGACAAACAAAGGGGGCUCCAUGAUGCAUUGUCUGAAUGUGAAGCGAAGCUACAGGUGUGUGUGUGUGUGUGUGUGUGUGUGUGUGUGUGUGUGUGUGUAGAGGUGUGAAUGUGUGAGCAGAACUGAUGGUUGUGGAAACUUUAUUGUCUCUUUCUGUCUCUCCCUGAUCCCUGUAGGUGUGUUUAGGCAUUUUUUGAAGUGAGCCUUGCAGCGCCACCUCUGUGAAGUGACUGCGUGGAUGACGACGGUGCAUUUGGGCAGGGAUAGAAAAUAGAAUAAAUAAAUAUAUAAAAGAGAGAACAUCCCCCCCAGAGUGGAAAUGUAACUCUAAUGCAGCAGGAGGAGGUGGACAGGAAAGCUAUUAAGGCUAAGCGAGGGCCUGGGGUCCACUCAAGUUUUACAUUCCUACUCUGGGCUGCACCGUGUGUUUCACUGACACAGUCUCUCUGUCUCACACACAUACACACAGACACACUUAGACACACAUCCUCUCAACCUGCUCUUCCAGCUCUGUUCCAUCUGAACUCUUUCUCAGCGCUGAGCUGAGCAGACUCAAGGAAACGGUUCAUUUAAAUGUACAUAAUUUGCUCUCCGAGGCUUACUCUUGGUCUUACUGUUCCCCUGUGGCGCCAUAGAGAAACAGCCCAGGAGAGAGACACAGAGAGAACAGAUUUUAUCCUGGAAGAAUCCAGUGGCCUGGACAGAAGCACAGACUGGUAAAAGCCAGGCAGUGUGAGAGCUUCAGGUACACUGGACAUUUAUCCCCUUGAGGCUUUGAUGCCAACACGUGUUUUCAUCUUGUCUCGCCACCAGAUUCCGUGUGCCGGAGAAGCCCAAACACUCCACUGCACAGUUAGUUAUUUACUCAGUAAGGUGCUCAAAAGCAUAGAUUUUCAUACAUGUCACUAUAUGUUGAGAAGAUUAUGAACAAUAAAAAGAAUCCUGACAGCGGACUAGCAGGCUUAGUUGCAGUACUCUCAUUCUGAAGCAACAGGCCAAUGAAUAAUAAAGGUAACGGUCCAAAACCAGAUGAAAAGAGGAAGGCAGAAAAGAGACAGAUUGAAAGAAAGGGAAAAGCGAUUUGGCCUUUGUCAAAGUCAACACUUGACCUUUUGCGGAUCAGAAGGUGAUUGUUUUGACUGUGUUGCACAAGCUGGUGUGUUGUCAGAGUGUGUAAGAUGCACACCAUGGCAGACUUACUGUGAGGCGUCACAAUAUCACUCAUCAGGCUGUUUGCUUAUUUCGGUGUGUGAGAAAUUUCUUAACCUCUGGAUUUAAACUGGCUCAGUCUUUACACUAAGCGUUGAAGCUCCGAGCACAUGUCUGUUCUCCGUGAAUAAAGUAAACAAAGCAAGCAAAUCCACAUAAUUGAUUCCAUUUGGUCUGAGUCAAUUCAUAUCAAAUAAUGGGUAAACAACAAGAGGGAUAAAAGGGAUAAAAGACAUGCUUUUUUUUGCAGAGGGACUUCCAGUCACUACAGUGGAAAUGAAAUAAAAUUAAAGAUUUAAGAUCACAACAAAAAGAGUUUUUGCAAAACAAAAGCCUAAUUAGUUAGUAAUUCAACAUCACAGGUGUAUUUCUUUGACUCAGUUUUGACCUGAAAAAAUAAAUGUAUUCAAGAGUUUAAGAGCUGAUGGGCGGGUAUACUCUUGACUUGGUUGUAAUAUACAGCUGAAAUAAAACUGCUGGCAGAAAUUCACAAUACACUGGUUCCCUUCUGUACUUAUCAUUAGUGCAGAAGAUGCAUUAUCAUCCAUUCUAAUUAAUAAUAAAAAAGAAAGCAGUCCAGAUUAUGAAGAAGACUUCAUCCCUUACAUAAUCAGUGAGUUUAACUGAUGAUGAGGUAACUUUUGAUUGCUACUGCUAAAUUGCUCUAUAUUUGUUUUUUGCAAGCCUUUCAAAUGUUUAGAUUAAAGGGAAGAAAAUGAUCGUUUACAUGUGUUCGUUCAAAGAUGUUCUUUAAAACAGCAGCAGGCAAAUAACUGCUCCAUUACUUCUUAAGUUCCUCAAUCUUGGAUUUCAGACUGUUUGCAUUUGUCAUUGCACAUAUUUGUUAAAAUCAUAGCAGCCUCUUUUAAAGCUCUUUAAAAUCCACACUUGCUCAGAACUUACCUGUGAUUAAUUACAGAGCAAAUAUACUGGAUCUGAGGUUUAAUUAUGACUUAACUUCAUUUAAGCAUUAUUUUUAUGUGUAAAGCAAAGUCUUUUAUUCGAGAGAAGAUGAAUGCACAAUAUACUGCUGUAAAGGAUGCCAACUAUUAUAAAUUUCAUUUCCUCUUAGGACCACAAAUGGUGGCUGUUUGCCCGCUAAAAAUAAUAAAAAUAAUAAUAAUGAUGACAUAAUUUAUUCAGUCAAGUCAAAUAAUCACUAAGGACAAGUUCUGUGCAAAUUCAUUUGAUCGCUGUAUUAGUGCUCAUGUGUAUUGUUUCAGUAAAUUAAACUAAAUAAAUAAAAGCAGUCAUGAAUUCCA